AAAAUAUAUAAAAUGUUAAAAUAUAAAAACAGAUUAAAAAAAUUGCCCUCAGGGUCGUUUUGGAUUUGAGAAACAGCAACCAUGAACGACUUGUUGUACUCAGGGUCGUUUUUGCUGUUCCGGAGCGAGCAGAACUCGAACGACGAUCACGUGAUUGAGAUGUCGUCGGCGUCGUCAACCUCGACAAGUUCUUCGGCGACGUCGAAUCCGUUAAGGACUAGAUCAAGGAGCUCAAGCGCCUCCACCAGAACCUCCAGUCCUCCUACGAGCACAGCAAGACGCUCCACAACGCCAAGGCCAUCAAGGACCUCCGAUCUCGCAGGGACGCCGACGUUACACUCGCGCUCAAGAAGGCCAGUCAGUUAUAUAUUUAUUUUGAAUUAUUUAUACCCACGGUAGCUAGACAACAUGCCACAUGGUCAACUUAAAGGAAUGCUUAAAUUAGUCAGGUUUGAGACUAUUGGAGUGUAAAUUGACGAAAUUGAAAUCCCGAUUCAUAUUGAGAAUGACCCUAAAUAUCUAAGGGAUGUUUUGUCUUUAGCCCUAAAGAUAACUUGUAAUAUAUUGAUAUUGUCUCAUCAAAUACUGCAUGUUUUUUUUUUUUGUGAUCAAAA